UACGUAGGGUGCGAGCGUUGUCCGGAAUUAUUGGGCGUAAAGGGCUCGUAGGCGGUCCAUCGCGUCGGGAGUGAAAAGCUGGGGCUUAACCCCAGUCCUGCUUUCGAUACGGGUGGACUAGAGGUAGGCAGGGGAGAAUGGAAUUCCUGGUGUAGCGGUGAAAUGCGUAGAGAUCGGGAAGAAGGCCGGUGGCGAAGGCGGCUCUCUGGAACGUUCCUGACACUGAGGCACGAAAAGCGUGGGGGAGCAAACAGG
rnacentral:rRNA from 1 species